UGAACAAUUGAUCAAAUGGCCACCCGGACUAUUUACAUUAACCCCCCCCCACACACACUUUUUUUUACUCUGCUGGUACUCGCUGUUUAUUUUCUAUGCUUAGUCACUUACCCCUAGCUACAUGUACAAAUGACCUGGACUAACCUGUACCCCCACACAUUGACUUAGUACCGGUACCCCUGUUUAUAGCCUCGUUAUUUUAUUGUGUUACUUUUUAUUAUUUUUUACUUUUGUUUAUUUGGUAAAUAUUUUCUUAACUCUUUCUUGAACUGCAUUGUUGGUUAAAGGCUUGUAAGUAAGCAUUUCAUGGUGAGGUCUACUCCUGUUGUAUUCGGCGCAUAUGACGAAUAAAGUUAGAUUUGAUUUCAAUAACUUAUUGUAGACAGGAUUCAAAGACACUAUUGUCACACCAGGCUUGUGCAUGUGUGUGUGUCAGGUCUGAGGUGGGCUCUCCAACCCAGUGGGCUGAGAGAGUUGAGCAGGGAGGCCCGAGGGAGACUUCAGCCUCUCUUGGACCAGGCCCAAGAGACAUUUAAACUAUCCCUAAAAAAAAUAAAGGGUUGUAUGGACACAAAAAAUGGACAAUGAUUUUGAGUUUUUUCUUGUUUUUCAGCAGGCAGGGGAAUAAACAACUGAGUGUGUAACUUUGCUGUCACUCAAUACCCACAUUGUUGUUACAGAAGAAAAGCCUGGACCAAGGAAAGCUUUCCCCUCACUCAGGAAUUCCACUGCCCUCAGAGGAGUGGGAAAAUCAAUACAUCUCAUUUGUAAUUGAAAAAUCCAUACAGCUUUUACCACCAUAUUUGUGCCACCACAGUGAAAUGAAUAGGGAAUUUACAGCUAGGCCUAGGGUGUAGUGCUGCAGCCUUGUGUAUGUGCUGAGUGACAAGACUGAGUUAGAGUAGGAGUGGUUUGUGUUAGGUAGGAGAAGGUCAGUAGUGGUGUGGUACUGAGCUUGCCCUACCUGUGUACCCCAGCAGAUAGGAGCUGUUGCCUCUCAGACCCGGGACAGAAAGGCCACAUCGUCACUGACGCAUCGGCUGUCUGAGCAGGCUACAGACAGAGCUACGCUGCCGCCCUGCUAGAGGAGCUGCUGGCUGAUGCAGUGCUGGCCAUCUGGGUGGCGGAGACAGACAGAUGGAGGGUUUGGCACAGCUCCAGGCCCCCACCCUGGAGAGCAUGCUGCUAUCCAUGGAGGAGAUGGAGAAAUAUCAGGAAGUUGUGAGGAGGCACUUUUCUACCAUCACGUACUCAGACCCUCACUACUGGGACAAAGGGGACACAACUGGGGAGUAAACAGGCCAAGUAACUCCUCCACACAGUUUUGCAUGAGGGUUUGAAUUGUUGUUCCUCUGGUGCACUGCAGAUGGAGGUAUUGCCUUAGUGCUGUUUCAGCCAGUUGAGAGCAAGGCUAUCCCUCUUCCUAACUCUCCUUUUCCACCCCUCUUUCUCCCAUCCCCAUCGCUCUCUCAAGGCCCUAGAGGCCUGCUCCAGGCCAGUCUCUACUCAGCCUGUCAGGAUCACCGGGCCAACACUGAGACACACCACCACGGCUGACAUUGUCCUGGAGAGCCCUGUGGAGACCGGUUGUUUUUUCAUCUGGUGUUGCCAAAGCGCUCUUUUCUCUGAAUAGUCCUAUGCACAGAAUUCAAUAUAACAUUGUGUACUGUUACAGUAUCUGUAUGUUAAUAUGUGUAGUAAUCACCAUGCAAUACUGCAGCCACCAUCUUAGAGAAAGCUUCAAGCACUGUCUGAGUUUAAUGGGUUGAUGUAUGGACAGAUGGUUUGAGAAACAGAUAUAUAUUAAUAAGGAAUAUAUGACAUUAUAUACUGGGUGGUUCGAGCCCUGAAUGCUGAUUUGUCUGACAGCCGUGGUAUAUCAGACCAUACACCACGGGUAUGACAAAUAAUUUAUUUUUACGGCUCUAAUUACAUUGG